rnacentral:rRNA from 1 species
GACGAACGCUGGCGGCGUGCUUAACACAUGCAAGUCGAGCGGUAAGGCCCUUUCGGGGGUACACGAGCGGCGAACGGGUGAGUAACACGUGGGUGACCUGCCCUUAGCUCUGGGAUAAGCCUGGGAAACUGGGUCUAAUACCGGAUAUGACUCCAUGACGCAUGUUGUGGGGUGGAAAGCCUUGUGCGGCUAGGGAUGGGCCCGCGGCCUAUCAGCUUGUUGGUGGGGUGAUGGCCUACCAAGGCGACGACGGGUAGCCGGCCUGAGAGGGCGACCGGCCACACUGGGACUGAGACACGGCCCAGACUCCUACGGGAGGCAGCAGUGGGGAAUCUGCGCAAUGGGCGAAAGCCUGACGCAGCGACGCCGCGUGAGGGAUGACGGCCU